rnacentral:rRNA from 1 species
AUUGAACGCUGGCGGCAUGCCUUACACAUGCAAGUCGAACGGCAGCACGGGGCAACCCUGGUGGCGAGUGGCGAACGGGUGAGUAAUGCACUCGGAACGUGCCCAGUAGUGGGGAUAACUAGUCGAAAGAUUAGCUAAUACCGCAUACGACCGUACGGGUAGAAAGCGGGGAUUCGCAAGAACCUCGCGCUAUCGGAGCGGCCGAUGUCUGAUUAGCUAGUUGG